rnacentral:rRNA from 1 species
AAUAUUGGACAAUGGGGGCAACCCUGAUCCAGCCAGGCCGCGAGUGUGAAGAAGGUCUUCGGAUUGUAAAGCACUUUAAGGUGGGAGGAAGGGCUUUAGGUUAAUACCCAGAAGUUUUGACGUUCGCAAUAGAAGAAGCACCGGCUAACUCAGUGCCAGCAGCCGCGGUAAUACAGCGGGUGCAAGCGUUAAUCGGAAUUACUGGGCGUAAAGCGCGCGUAGGUGGUUCAGUAAGAUGGGUGUGAAAUCCCCGGGCUUAACCUGGGAACUGCUUUCAUAACUGCUGAGCUAGAGUACGGUAGAGGGUAGUGGAAUUUCCUGUGUAGCGGUGAAAUGCGUAGAUAUAGGAAGGAACACCAGUGGCGAAGGCGACUACCUGGACUGAUACUGACACUGAGGUGCGAAAGCGUGGGGAGCAAAC